ACGCUCGACACCUACGCAGCAGUGGGGAAUAUUGGGCAAUGGGCGCAAGCCUGACCCAGCAACGCCGCGUGAAGGAAGAAGGCCCUCGGGUUGUAAACUUCUUUUGUCAGGGACGAAGCAAGUGACGGUACCUGACGAAUAAGCCACGGCUAACUACGUGCCAGCAGCCGCGGUAAUCUGAGCGGGCUGGCAAGGC
rnacentral:rRNA from 1 species